rnacentral:rRNA from 1 species
GACGAACGCUGGCGGCGUGCUUAACACAUGCAAGUCGAACGUGAUUUUUGUGGAAAUUCUUUCGGGAAUGGAAAUGAAAUGAAAGUGGCGAACGGGUGAGUAACACGUGAGCAACCUACCUUACACAGGGGGAUAGCCGUUGGAAACGACGAUUAAUACCGCAUGAGACCACAGAAUCGCAUGAUAUAGGGGUCAAAGAUUUAUCGGUGUAAGAAGGGCUCGCGUCUGAUUAGCUAGUUGGAAGGGUAAAGGCCUACCAAGGCGACGAUCAGUAGCCGGUCUGAGAGGAUGAACGGCCACAUUGGAACUGAGACACGGUCCAAACUCCUACGGGAGGCAGCAGUGGGGAAUAUUGCACAAUGGGGGGAACCCUGAUGCAGCGACGCCGCGUGAGCGAAGAAGGUUUUCGAAUCGUAAAGCUCUGUCCUAUGAGAAGAUAAUGACGGUAUCAUAGGAGGAAGCCCCGGCUAAAUACGUGCCAGCAGCCCGCGGUAAUACGUAUGGGGCGAGCGUUGUCCCGGAAUUAUUGGGCGUAAAGGGUACAUAGGCGGUUUUUUUAAGUCGGGUGUGAAAGCGCGAGGCUUAACCUCAUUAAGCACUUGAAACUGGAAGACUUGAGUGAAC